rfam:Pteropus alecto contig15864, whole genome shotgun sequence.
GUACUCACUGCAGCAGCACACAUACUAAAAUUGGAACAGUACAGAGAAGAUUAGCAUAGCCCUUGCGCAAGGGUGACACACAAUUCGUGAAGUGUUCCAUAUUAAA